AGGCUGUGGUAAAGCAUCAGUUCUCGAACGGAUCGCUACUGCAACGGUUAUCCAUUUAGUUGGAGGGAAUCGGUUUGUAUAGAUUACAACGAAAAGGUUUCUUCUAGGUCUAGUGAGGAACGCCUUGAAGCCGCUUCAAACGAGCCAAUUUACCUUCCAAUCUUCCAAGAUGAAAUCGACCUUCCUGGUGGUGUUGGAGCUGGCGUUUUUCCUUCUGCCCGGCCGGGUUCUGUACGCCCAGAAGGAUAACGGUAAGUAAUGGUGGAACUUUACCCCAAACCCCCCAAUACUGUAAGGUAAAGGUGAGCUACAUUAACCAAGAAGCAAGAAAGAAACAGCCAGUAUGUUUCCUGAUAAUGCAAAGUCGCCCUGCCCGAAAGGAAGACCUUGGUGUGGCCUUCAGGGUUCUCGGUGGCUAAUGUGGUCGCUGAAUUUAUGGUUCCUCCACCAAUUGGCUUGGUCCUGUUGGAUGAGCGAGGAACCCAUUUUACAGCACGAUUGCUUUAUCCUGGUUGGUCGUUUAGUUUGGUUUGUCGACGAGUUGGGUGAGCUGAAGUAGGCGGCGAAAACCUGGUUACUAAGGUGGAGUUUGCUCAGCCAAAGUUGGGUAAGUAGACGAGAAUCAAGCAUUUUCAUUUGAGGUUAUCAUAGCGGGCGGUGGAUGGGGAGUGCAACCGAAGAAAAAGGUACGUGUAGUCGCUUUAAUUGCAUAUUAUGAGUUAUUUAUGUCCAAUGAAAAUAUGAUUACUGGCAGAAAACGGGUGCAAACUUUACAUGAAGGGCCAACUAGUUAGCAGCGCCUGUUCUCUAUUUUUUCUGUCUACUUAUACCUGCAUGAGGUUUGGUAAUAUGUGUGCUUUUAAACUGUUCAUCAAUGUCUACUGUGAUUGCUGUCGUUGGGUGGGAAGACCACAGGCUGUGCGCAGUACUUCUUAAAGCUUUGCCUAAUUAGUUUAACCGUACUAUUUCGAAUUCGUACUAAUUCCACACCUGCGACCAGGUAUCGACGAAAGCACCGCUCGAGUGUAUGUGCCGUCCCUGCACCGGCAUUGAGGAUGCGAACGUGAUCCCCCAGGAGCUGACAUCGUUCGCCGACGAGGGCACACUGACUGGCUACUUCCAGAAAUCCCACUACAAAUCUGUGGAAUAAUUCCAUCUGGAAAAGUGCUCGCUUCUGAAUCUGUUUGUUUAAAAAAGAUUCAUGGAUGAUGAAAGAUUAACUCCGUUAGGACGUUGUGUGGCGUUGGGUAGCUGUAUUGGGGUGAGGGAGUCCCGAGAGAGGAAGUAACUGUGUUCAAUCGUGUUAGUCAGCUUAGUUUUGUUAGUAGAUAAGAUCGACGUUAAAAGGGAACGAAUUUUGUGGCUCAAAAACUAAAUAGAAGAGAACAAGAGAGAGGGUAGCUUACGAUGUUAAGGAGUAAUGUCAUCGGUGUUUUAACAAGCUGUAUCAAUAAAGCUGAGAUCGUAGAAUUAAUGAGGAAAA